rnacentral:lncRNA from 1 species
GACCAGUAACCUCUACUGCAACAGUGACCUCUUCUGGACCGGAAGCAAGAACAUCUAGUGGAACACGAGGCCUCCCGAACAUCAACCGCGGCCUGUUUCACGUCAGCUCUGACAGCCGCACAGCGAGA